rnacentral:rRNA from 1 species
UACAGAGGUCGCGAGCGUUGUUCGGAUUCACUGGGCGUAAAGGGUGCGUAGGUGGUGGGAUAAGUCGGAUGUGAAAUCUCGGAGCUUAACUCCGAAACUGCAUUGGAAACUGGCCUGCUAGAGGGUUGGAGAGGGGACUGGAAUACUUGGUGUAGCAGUGAAAUGCGUAGAUAUCAAGUGGAACACCGGUGGCGAAGGCGAGUCCCUGGACAACACCUGACACUGAGGCACGAAAGCUAGGGGAGCAAACAGG